CUAGUUGGCGGGGUAACGGCCCACCAAGGCUAUGACGGGUAGCUGGUCUGAGAGGACGACCAGUCACACGGGGACUGAGACACGGCCCCGACUCCUACGGGAGGCAGCAGUGGGGAAUUUUCCGCAAUGGGCGAAAGCCUGACGGAGUGACGCCGCGUGUGGGACGAAGGCCUUCGGGUCGUAAACCACUGUCAGUGGGAAAGAAGGGUGUCGGCACUAAUACCGCCGGCAUUUGACGGUACCUGCAGAGGAAGCCCCGGCCAACUCUGUGCCAGCAGCCGCGGUAAGACAGAGGGGGCAAGCGUUGCUCGGAAUUACUGGGCGUAAAGGGCGCGUAGGCGGGAUGGCAAGUCGGUCGUGAAAUCCUUCGGCUCAACCGAAGAACGUCGAUCGAUACUGCCGUUCUUGAGGGUUGCAGAGGAGACUGGAAUUCCCGGUGUAGCGGUGAAAUGUGUAGAGAUCGGGAGGAACACCGGUGGCGAAGGCGGGUCUCUGGGCAAUUCCUGACGCUGAGGCGCGAAAGCGUGGGGAGCAAACGGGAUUAGAUACCCCGGUAGUCCACGCUGUAAACGAUGACGACUAGGUGUGGGGGGGUUCAGUCCCCUCCGUGCCGCAGCUAACGCAUUAAGUCGUCCGCCUGGGGAGUACGGCCGCAAGGUUGAAACUCAAAGGAAUUGACG
rnacentral:rRNA from 1 species